CGUGUAGGCGGCUCAUCAAGUCUGGUGUGAAAAUGCAGGGCUUAACCCUGCAGAUGCGCUGGAAACUGGUGGGCUUGAGUUCCUGAGGGGAAGCUGGAAUUCCAGGUGUAGGAGUGAAAUCUGUAGAUAUCUGGAAGAGCACCGGUGGCGAAGGCGAGCUUCUAUCAGAGGACUGACGCUGAGGCGCGAAAGCGUGGGGAGCAAACA
rnacentral:rRNA from 1 species